AUUGAACGCUGGCGGCAGGCCUAACACAUGCAAGUCGAGCGGAUGAAGGGAGCUUGCUCCUGGAUUCAGCGGCGGACGGGUGAGUAAUGCCUAGGAAUCUGCCUGGUAGUGGGGGAUAACGUCCGGAAACGGGCGCUAAUACCGCAUACGUCCUGAGGGAGAAAGUGGGGGAUCUUCGGACCUCACGCUAUCAGAUGAGCCUAGGUCGGAUUAGCUAGUUGGUGGGGUAAAGGCCUACCAAGGCGACGAUCCGUAACUGGUCUGAGAGGAUGAUCAGUCACACUGGAACUUGAACAAGGUCCCAACUCCUAAGGGAGGGAGCAGUGGGGAAAUUUGGGAAAAGGGGGAAAGGCUGAAGCAGGCACGCCGGGGGGGUGAAAAAAGUCUUUCGAGUUGAAAACCCUUUUAAGUGGGGAGAAAGGGAGUGAAGUUAACUCUUCGCUUUUUGACGGUACCCAAUAAAAAAAGCACCACUAACUUUGGG
rnacentral:rRNA from 1 species